rnacentral:tRNA from 1 species
GCCCGAGUGGUGGAAUGGUAGACACGACGGAUUCAAAAUCCGUUGCCGCAAGGCGUGCCGGUUCGAGCCCGGCCUCGGGUA